UAAUCUCCUCCUCACCUGUAACCUAAUCUCCUCCUAGUCCUCACCACCACUCCUGCCGCCGAUCACCACCACUCCUGUCACUUGCGACCAACUAAACGCCUCGCCGCCAACCACCAUUCCCAGUAUCUUUUCUCCAGCAGCAGCAGCAGCAGAAAGCCAACAACCACCACCCUCCGACUACUACCACCACCACCACCCAACCUCUGGCAACCACAAGCAUCACCACCAUCUUCCCUCAACUUAGAUCCACCGGAAAAGGAGACAAAUUUGUUGUGGCCGUUUCAGAUCUAAAAAAGUCGAACCCCACUCGCCUGUUGAAGAUGGUCAAAUUUGUUGGUGGUUCUUCUCCCCCACACUGCUGUCACUUGACGAAGAUAAAACAAGCUGGAAAAACUUUUUUGCAUAUUUGGGUCCUGGUUUUCUUGUUUCGAUAGCAUACAUAGAUCUUGGAAAUUGUAAGAUACUUCUUUCUCAUGGUGGUGGUAUGGGAGUAGUGUCUGUGAUGUGAUAGUGGUGUGGUGGUGGCGGUGGCGGUAUGGUGUGGUGGGUGUUAUAAACAAAGGGUUGAUGGUGAAGAGGGGUUUUACAAUGAAGGAAGAAACAAGUUGUGAAAAGACAUAAAUGCCCUCACAUGAGGUGCACAUGAUAUGUCUUAAUGUUUAAAAUUAACUAGGUUAGUGUUAAAGGACCAAAGGUGUAAUGAGUUUUCCAAAUAAAGGAUUGUGGCUGUAAUUAUUAAAAUUAAAGGUUAUCCAUUGCAAUUCAAUACAAACAUAAAGGACGAAAAGUGUAAUUUAUCCUUUUGUUUUUCUAAUAAAAUAUUAUCUUC
rnacentral:lncRNA from 1 species